CAGUCGCCGCGGUAAUACGGAGGGGGCUAGCGUUGUUCGGAAUUACUGGGCGUAAAGCGCACGUAGGCGGUUUUGUAAGUCAGAGGUGAAAGCCCGGAGCUCAACUCCGGAACUGCCUUUGAGACUGCAUCACUUGAACGUCGGAGAGGUGAGUGGAAUUCCGAGUGUAGAGGUGAAAUUCGUAGAUAUUCGGAAGAACACCAGUGGCGAAGGCGGCUCACUGGACGACUGUUGACGCUGAGGUGCGAAAGCGUGGGGAGCAAACAGGAUUAGAUACCCCUGUAGUCCCUGUCUCUUAUAC
rnacentral:rRNA from 1 species